AUGUAGCAUACCUAAUAAAAAAAUCUAUAUUAUAACAAGAAAGAAACUGACUUAUAUGUUGAUAACAAUAGCAAUUGCUUUCCUGCAUAUCAUCAUUACUACUGCCUAUAUCGUACCUAUAUUUUGAGUUUUCUGUGGAGAACGAAUGGCUCAAGUUAAUGAAGCUAAUGAAAUAUCAAAAACCUACCAA